rnacentral:rRNA from 1 species
GGCCCGGUUGGUCGGUCUGCCAUUGGUAUGCACUAAUCGACUGGGCCUUUCCUUCUGGCGAACUAGUGUGCUAUUCAUUUAGUGCGGUAGGGAACCAGGACUUUUACUUUGAAAAAAUUAGAGUGUUUAAAACAGGCAUUUUGCUUGAAUACAUUAGCAUGGAAUAACGGAAUAGGACUU